rnacentral:lncRNA from 1 species
CUACCCCCAGGGACUUAGAUAAUGACAGGCACUUCUGCUUCGCCCCAAAUGUUGCGUGUUCCAAGACCACCAUGGCCCACCACGACCCCAUCCUGGGCCUGUAAAAACUUGAGACCCAGCAAGGCAGAGACAGAAGCUACUGAACAGUGAGAGGAACACAUCAGCCAAAGAAGACAAGCGGCUGAACAUUGAGAGGAAGUCGAGGGAGCACGCCAUAGGAGGCCAGCAGGCUUGCAAGCCAUUGACUGACUGACUGAAGGGAAGACGCGGAGUGUGGCUGCAGCAGUCCGAGGAGAGCUGGGGCCGCCAGGCGACCCAAGUCCAGGGGAAGACCAUCUCCCUUCCGGCUCCCCCAUCGGCUGAGAGCUACUUCCACUCAGUAAAACUUUACAUUCAUUCUGCAAGCCCACUUGUGUUCCUAUUCUUCCGGUACACCAAGGCAAGAACCCGGGAUACAGAAAGCCCUCUGUCCUUACAACAAGGUAGAGGGUCUAAUUGAGCUGGUUAACACAAGACACUUAUAGACGGUAAACUAAAAGAGCACCUUGUAACACCCACUAGGGCUUCAGCUGUAAACAUUUACCCUCGACACUGCCUUGGGGUCGGAGCCCCACAGCCUGCCCUUCUGUAUGCUCCCCUAGAGGUCUGAGCAGCAGGGCACUGAAGAAGUGAGCCACAUCCCCAUCGCACGCCCAGCGAGGGGUACAAGGGAACCUUUCCCAUUUCAACUGGGGACCUCUCCUGGGAUCUUGGAAGGACGUGCUUGCUUCCUCCUCGGCUUCUGUCAUGAUUUUAAGUUUCCUGAAGUCUCCUAGCCAUGCUUCCUAUUAAGUCUGCA